CACACAUCAAUGCUUGUCUCGUGUGUAAGACGACCAAAGCCCCGAAUUAUGUUCUUCGACCUCCGUUAGGGAAAGCGCCGGAGAGUCAGCGGUUCUUUCAAAGACUGUUCGUGGAUUUCCUGGGACCUUAUCCCAGGUCGAGAGGCGGAAACAUAGGCAUUUUUAUCGUACUGGACCACUUCUCGAAAUACAUCUUCCUGAAGCCCGUCAAGAAAAUAAGCGCUGACGUGGUGGUUAAGUAUCUCGAAACUGAAUUAUUCAUGGCGUUUGGUGUUCCCGAAACAAUCGUAUCUGAUAAUGGAUCCCAGCUCCGAUCCGAAACGUUUCGAAAGCUUUUAAGUCGGUUUGAAAUAACACACACUUUAACGGCCGUGCAUUCACCGCAAGCGAACGCCUCUGAGCGUGUGAACCGGUCAGUGAUUAGCGGGAUCAGGGCGUACCUACGAACCGAUCAGAAGGAUUGGGACGAGCACCUAAGUCGCAUUUCAUGUGCGCUAAGAUCCGCGUCUCAUGCUAGUAUAGGGACUACCCCGUACUACAUGGUGUUUGGCCAGCAUAUGGUCACCGCCGGGUCGACAUAUUCGCUACUCAGGAAAUUAAAGUUACUAGACGAUCGAUCCUUGGUAUUCAACAGACCCGACUCGCUUGAAAUCAUACGCAAGGGCGCCUGUGUACAAAUGCAGAAGAUGCACGAUCAAAACGAGAAGCGAUACAACCUGCGCUCAAGACAAGUAGAUUUCGCCGUAGGUCAGGAAGUGUUCCGGAGGAACUUCAAGCAAAGCUGCUUCCAAACAGGGUACAGUGCCAAAUUCGGACAAGCGUUUGUGAAGGCUCGAGUUCGAAGAAAGCUUGGCGGUGCGUAUUAUGAAUUGGAAGACUUGCAAGGACGAUCUUUGGGGAACUACCACGCAAAGGACAUACGACAAUGAUAAGUCGCUUCAUGCGGUAUCAGCCUAGGAGAUGUAACCACCCCUAGUCUGAUCUGGUGGGGGGGCUUUGUAGCGGGCCUGAAGCGACGUAGAAGAAGUCGAUAGGUUUGGCGGGAAGGAUUAAUCGGCUAAGAUUUGAAAGAAAAAUUGAAAGUCAAGACCAUGAUAUCGAUCUCGGGGCCAGGGAUGCAUGCUGCCACCCUUUGACAGGCACAGGGUUACUUUGACCUGUUAACAGGCGCAGGGUUACUUUGACCUGUUAACGCGCAGAGAUGCUUUGGACAUCUGACAGGCCAUGUCAAAUUCCUUUUCCGGUUAAAGAUCUCGUUGAGAACGGGUGUGGGCGCAAACGAAUCUUUUGUAAGAAGUGCCAUCAUAGGAAAAUUCCAUUGUGAAACAACUCGACACGGUACGGAAAAGACAUACCUUUCGGUUGAUCGCGAUAUUUUGGCUCACGCAACCGCUGAUUCUCUUGCUCGUACAAGUGGAGUGACGGGGCGACAGAUCCUGCUCGGAGGAAAGACGCCACAGCUCAAAGACCGGACGGUCUUUCGCUUAUUGCGUGGGGCAGCGACCCACGCCAUUUAAACGCACCCCAUCGUCCAGUCGCCGGCUAAGUAAGCCGCAGAGCGCAGUCAGCCGGGGGCUGGAAUAAGCAAACGCCUUCCCGCUUGGGACCCUUCGCCUGCGAGGAGCACCCUAGACAGGGUUAAACAGCAGCGCGCGCCAAGGCGCGUGAAGAAGAAGCAGGAGCAAAUCAGGGAUGCUGCAAUGCUAAAGCCACCUGCGGCCUUCGUUUUCUCGGUUGCCCGAGCGCAGACCAUGCUGCAGUGAUGAAGCCAACUGCGGCCAUCGUCUUCCUGGUUGCCCAAUCGUCGGCCAAACAGAGGCAGAAUUCUCCGCCUUCGGCUGUCCUCUUCGCCCCGACUCUGUCCAGGAUUCCACUUCCAGCAGCUUCAGGGAGCACAGUUCACCAAAUCAUAGGGUUCAGCGGAGGCUAGCCUCGUCUAUUACCAUCCUAAUGUUUAAAGUAUAAAAAUCUCACAAAAUUUGUAUAUUCAUGAAGAAUAAUUAUCAGCCAACCUCAUUAACGUUCAAGUUCCCCCUGGGAGUUCGGGAAAUGUGUUCAGAAUUUGCAGUUAUAAGUAUUGUUAAGACAUCGCUAGUUCAAUUCAUUUUCGUUACACAUUCGUUAAACUCAUAUCAUGCUUAAGCAAUCUUUACAAAUAUUCACAAGCUAUUGUUGUCAGUUAAGUUCGGAUUGAAUUGUCAGGGAGAAAAUUCCCCCAAAAGUUCUGUGGCUCCACAUACAAGGUGUAGGUCGAAGUUGGGAAUUCUGAGUUGUAGCAAGAGAUAGAGUCUUCGUACUGUAAACCACCUUUCCGAAUUAACGCUUGUUUUCAGCCUACGCCGGAAGAUCGAUCUUUCGUCGUUGGAAAUUGAACAGUGAGUGAGUAAGCAUACCUUCCAAAAGUUGAAAUGUACGUAGUUUUGAAAACCAACUGAUCCUUGCCCAACCUCGCGAAUUUGAAACCUCUGGCCCCUGCCUAUUGAGGCUUUGCCUUGAGCGAUCUGAUCGUUGGCUAAUUAGGGACGCCAUCUGCAUCCAGUCAUCGACUGAACUCCGCAUAGGAUCUCACGUUUUGUCAGCCAGACCGCCUCUUUGAUUUUCGACUCAUUCCGAAGUUAAAAGAUUUAAUGAUUUUUCCACAUUUGUGCGAAAAGCGAAAGUAACGAACUUAAAGUAUUCAAUGAUUUUCCCAUGUUAUGCGAAAAGCGAAAUUUAUGAAUAUAAUUAGAAUUUAACUCGAAUUACAGUCUUAUUAUAUAUAUACUCAAUACAUUAUCAAAUAUCUUUAUAUACCCAACCAUUACGAAUCACCUAUUUUUAGUAGUUAUUAAGAUCAUUUACUAUGUUGCCAUAUCGGAUUUAAUUUUUGUGUUGAGGAAAUAAUGUUGAAGUUUAGAUAAAAGAACAAAAUGGACUCAAUGCUA